rnacentral:rRNA from 1 species
UACGUAGGGGGCGAGUGUUAUCCGGAUUCACUGGGUGUAAAGGGAGCGUAGACGGCCAUGCAAGCCAGGGGUGAAAGCCCGGGGCCCAACCCCGGGACUGCCCUUGGAACUGCAUGGCUGGAGUGCGGGAGGGGCAGGCGGAAUUCCUGGUGUAGCGGUGAAAUGCGUAGAUAUCAGGAGGAACACCGGCGGCGAAGGCGGCCUGCUGGACCGCGACUGACGUUGAGGCUCGAAAGCGUGGGGAGCGAACAGG